GCAAACUUGGUCAUUUAGAGGAAGUAAAAGUCGUAACAAGGUCUCCGUUGGUGAACCAGCGGAGGGAUCAUUAAAGAGUUGCAAAACUCCCCAACACCAUUGUGAAUCUUACCUUACAACUAGCGUUGCUUCGGCGCCGGGAGAGCGAGAGCACUCCCCCGCCGGCGGCUAGAAUAAACUAUGUUAUACUAUGUCCUCUCUGAGUAACUUAUACAAAUAAGUCAAAACUUUCAACAACGGAUCUCUUGGUUCUGGCAUCGAUGAAGAACGCAGC
rnacentral:misc_RNA from 1 species